CACAUGGGUUCCCAUACAAUCACUGAAGUUAAGCAAUGUUGAGCCUGGUCAGUACCAAGAUAGUGACUGCUUGGGAAUAUCAAGUGCUGUAA